rnacentral:rRNA from 1 species
CUUCGGGGUUACAGCCUUGCUGAAUUAUUCACCCGUGUCUUUUGCGUACUUCUUGUUUCCUUGGUGGGUUCGCCCACCAUAGGACAAACCAUAAACCUUUUGUAAUUGCAAUCAGCGUCAGUAAAAAAAUUAAUAAUUACAACUUUUAACAACGGAUCUCUUGGUUCUGGCAUCGAUGAAGAACGCAGCGAAAUGCGAUAAGUAGUGUGAAUUGCAGAAUUCAGUGAAUCAUCGAAUCUUUGAACGCACAUUGCGCCCUUUGGUAUUCCAAAGGGCAUGCCUGUUCGAGCGUCAUUUGUACCCUCAAGCUUUGCUUGGUGUUGGGCGUCUUGUCUCCAGUUCGCUGGAGACUCGCCUUAAAGUAAUUGGCAGCCGGCCUACUGGUUUCGGAGCGCAGCACAAGUCGCGCUCUCUUCCAGCCAAGGUCAGCAUCCACAAAGCCUUUUUUCAACUUUUGACCUCGGAUCAGGUAGGGAUACCCGCUGAACUUAAGCAUAUCANAAACGCGGAAGGAGAAAANAUCAUUACACAAUAUGAAAGGCGGGGCUGGCACCUUCGGGGUUCCGCCGUGCUUAAUUAAUCACCGUGUCUUUUGGCGUACUUCUCGUUUCCUUGGUGGGUUCGCCACCAUAGGAAAAACCAUAAACCUUUGUAAUUGCAAUCAGCGUCGUAAAAAAAUUAAUAAAUACACUUUUAACAACGGACUUUGGGUCUGCUCGAUUAANAAAGCACGAAUGCGUUAGUAUGUGAAUUGCAGAAAUCANGAAUCACCAACUUUUAAGCACAUGGGCCUUGGUAUUCUAAGGGCAAGCGGUUCUAGCGUCACUUGUUACCUCAGCCUUUGCUGGUGUUGGGCGUCUUGUCUCUGUUCCUUGA